rnacentral:lncRNA from 1 species
AAAUAAAUUGAUCACUAUCCUUCAUGACGAUCCUAUGAUUGGAAGUAUUUAGAAAUUAACUACUAAUGAUGUAUGUCUCAAAUUUUCAACAUCUUGAGAAUAUACAAAAUAAUCUUAGUUAAUUUUUAGGAUAAAUUAUGGACACAUAUAACAUGAUUGGUAACAAAAAAAUUAUCCGAUAAGUACAAAAAUAUGUCUUAGAGAAAUAUAUGCAUCGAUCAAGAUU